UACAGAGGUCUCAAGCGUUUGUUCGGAUUCAUUGGGCGUAAAGGGUGCGUAGGCGGCGCGGUAAGUCGGGGUGUGAAAUUUCGAGGCUUAACUUCGAAACUGCAUUCGAUACUGCCGUGCUUGAGGACUGGAGAGGAGACUGGAAUUUACGGUGUAGCGGUGAAAUGCGUAGAUAUCGUAAGGAAGACCAGUGGCGAAGGCGGGUCUCUGGACAGUUCCUGACGCUGAGGCACGAAGGCCAGGGGAGCAAACGGG
rnacentral:rRNA from 1 species